rnacentral:rRNA from 1 species
ACCUCUGAUCAGGAAAGACUACCCGCUGAGUUUA